UACGGGGGGAGCAAGCGUUGUUCGGAUUUACUGGGCGUAAAGGGCGCGUAGGCGGCCACCGCAAGUCGACUGUGAAAUCUCCGGGCUUAACCCGGAAAGGUCAGCCGAUACUGCGGGGCUAGAGUGCAGAAGGGGCAACUGGGAAUUCUCGGUGUAGCGGUGAAAUGCGUAGAUAUCGAGAGGAACACCUGCGGCGAAGGCGGGUUGCUGGGCUGACACUGACGCUGAUGCGCGAAAGCGUGGGGAGCGAACAGG
rnacentral:rRNA from 1 species